rnacentral:rRNA from 1 species
UGAGUACGAGAUGCUACGGCAUCGAAGCAGUCUAUGUCAUACUUCCAAGAAAAGCUUGCACUGUCAUAAACAAAGAAUGCCUGUACCAUAACCGACACAGGUGGGUAGGUAGAGUAUACUAAGGGGCGCGAGAUAACUCUCUCUAAGGAACUCGGCAAAAUGACUCCGUAACUUCGGGAGAAGGAGUGCCUUAUUUCUAAGGUUGCAAUAACAAGAUCCAAGCAACUGUUUACCAAAAACACAGGUCUCCGCUAAGUCGUAAGACGAUGUAUGGGGGCUGACGCCUGCCCAGUGCCAGAAGGUUAAAGAAGUUGGUUAGCAUUAGCGAAGCUGAUAACCGAAGCCCUGGUGAACGGCGGCCGUAACAAUAACGGUCCUAAGGUAGCGAAAUUCCUUGACGGGUAAGUUCCGACCCGCACGAAAGGCGUAAUGAUUUGGAUACUGUCUCGGAGAGGGGCUCGGUGAAAUAGACUUGUCUGUGAAGAUGCGGACUACCUGCACCUGGACAGAAAGACCCUAUGAAGCUUUACUGUAACUUGAGAUUGAAAUUGGACUUUAUUUGCGCAGUAUAGGUGGGAGGCGUUGAGAAUAAUCUUGCGGGAUUGUUGGAGCCAUCAGUGAGAUACCACUCUUGUAAUGUUAGAUUUCUAACUUUGUAUCAUUAUCUGGUCAAAGAACAGUUUCAGGCGGGCAGUUUGACUGGGGCGGUCGCCUCCCAAAGGGUAACGGAGGCGCACAAAGGUUUCCUCUGAACGGGUAGAAAUCGUAUCUAGAGUGUAAAGGCAUAAGGAAGCUUGACUGUGAGACCUACAAGUCGAGCGGGACGAAAGUCGGUCUUAGUGAUCUGACGGUGCUGAGUGGAAAGGCCGUCACUCAACGGAUAAAAGUUACUCUAGGAUAACAGGCUGAUCUCCCCCAAGAGUUCACAUCGACGGGGAGGUUUGGCACCUCGAUGUCGGCUCAUCGCAUCCUGGGGCGGUAGUCCGUCCCAAGGGUUGGGCUGUUCGCCCAUGAAAGCGGUACGCGAGCUGGGUUCAGAACGUCGUGAGACAGUUCGGUCCAUAUCCGGUGUAGGCGUUAGAAUAUUGAGAGGAGCCUUCUCUAGUACGAGAGGACCGAGAAGGACAUACCUCUGGUGUACCAGUUAUCGUGCCAACGGUAAACGCUGGGUAGCUAUGUAUGGAGUGGAUAACCGCUGAAAGCAUCUAAGUGGGAAGCCCACCUCAAGAUAAG